UACGUAGGGCGCAAGCGUUAUCCGGAAUUAUUGGGCGUAAAGAGCUCGUAGGCGGUUUGUCGCGUCUGCCGUGAAAGUCCGGGGCUCAACUCCGGAUCUGCGGUGGGUACGGGCAGACUAGAGUGAUGUAGGGGAGACUGGAAUUCCUGGUGUAGCGGUGAAAUGCGCAGAUAUCAGGAGGAACACCGGUGGCGAAGGCGGAUCUCUGGGCCAUUACUGACGCUGACGGAGCGAAGCGUGGGAGCGAACAGG
rnacentral:rRNA from 1 species